AAUGUGUAAAAAUAUUGACUUACUAAGAAGUUGUUUUAAUUUAGUUGUUGCUUAAGAAUAUAAAAAAUGCAUAUUGUAUACAUAUGCAAUAGAAGCAAAAUAAUUUUAAGUUGCAUAGUAAAUUACGCAGAUUUUUUGGACCCUGAUGAUUUACUGUAAAAUCUAUAAUUAUUCAAUAGUGUCAGAUCUUGACAACUACUAAUUAUUAACGAAAGCUGUAACUGGUAAACCUAUACAGACAGAAACAAGAUCACCUGAAAUGUUUAGGACCGAUGUCAGUGAAGAAUUUAUUAAACUCAUGAGCUGUAGCUUUUGGUUCGCGUAUGCGUUUGUUAUCCACUAUAACCAUC
rnacentral:misc_RNA from 1 species